rnacentral:rRNA from 1 species
UACAGAGGGGGCAAGCGUUAUUCGGAAUCACUGGGCUUAAAGGGCGCGUAGACGGGCGACCGCGUCGAUGGCUGAAAGCCCCCGGCUCAACCGGGGAACGGGCCUCGAUACGGGUCGCCUCGAGUGGAGGAGGGGGACCUGGAACUUCCGGUGGAGCGGUGAAAUGUGUUGAUAUUGGAAGGAACGCCAGUGGCGAAAGCGACACACUGGGUCUCAACUGACGCUGAGGCACGAAAGCCAGGGGAGCAAACGGG